rnacentral:lncRNA from 1 species
CCAGUAAACAUGGAUUAUCAAUGAACAAUAGAGCAAAUAUUGGACUUGGAGACAGUAAGGGCAGUGUAACACCCAUGAAAGAAGAUUUCCAGAAAUGCCUCAGAAAGUGGUAAGGACAAUAGAAGAAUUAUGUUUGAAGGAAGGG